UGGGGAAUAUUGGACAAUGGGCGAAAGCCUGAUCCAGCAAUGCCGCGUGAGUGAUGAAGGCCUUAGGGUUGUAAAGCUCUUUUACCCGGGAUGAUAAUGACAGUACCGGGAGAAUAAGCCCCGCUAAGCUCCCGUGCCAGCAGCCGCGGUAAUACGGAGGGGCGUAGCGUUGUUCGGAAUUACUGGGCGUAAAGCGCGCGUAGGCGGCUUUGUAAGUUAGAGGUGAAAGCCCGGAGCUCAACUCCGGAAUUGCCUUUAAGACUGCAUCGCUAGAAUCAUGGAGAGGUGAGUGGAAUUCCGAGUGUAGAGGUGAAAUUCGUAAGAUAUUCGGAAGAACACCAGUGGCGAAGGCGACUUCAACUGGACA
rnacentral:rRNA from 1 species